rnacentral:sRNA from 1 species
GAAGCUUCCGUAGGUGAACCUGCGGAAGGAUCAUUACCGAGUGAGGGCCUUGUAGCGGUAGGACAUAUCCUCAGCGGAGGCGCAUAGUCUUUUGUACCUUGUUGCUUCGGCGGGCCCGCCGUUUCGACGGCCGCCGGGGAGGCCUCGCGCCCCCGGGCCCGCGCCCGCCGAAGACCCCAACAUGAACGCUGUUCUGAAAGUAUGCAGUCUGAGUUGAUUAUCAUAAUCAGUUAAAACUUUCAACAACGGAUCUCUUGGUUCCGGCAUCGAUGAAGAACGCAGCGAAAUGCGAUAAGUAAUGUGAAUUGCAGAAUUCAGUGAAUCAUCGAGUCUUUGAACGCACAUUGCGCCCCCUGGUAUUCCGGGGGGCAUGCCUGUCCGAGCGUCAUUGCUGCCCUCAAGCACGGCUUGUGUGUUGGGCCGCCGUCCCCGGUUCUCCCCCGGGGACGGGCCCGAAAGGCAGCGGCGGCACCGCGUCCGGUCCUCGAGCGUAUGGGGCUUCGUCACCCGCUCUGUAGGCCCGGCCGGCGCCAGCCGGCACCCAACUUUGUUUCAUAAGAAGUUGACACUCGAUGCUGCAUGUUUUGGCGAUACCCGCUGAACUUAAGCAUAUCAAUAAGCGGAGGAAGA